rnacentral:rRNA from 1 species
UACGUAGGUGGCAAGCGUUGUCCGGAUUUACUGGGCGUAAAGAGCGCGCAGGCGGUCGUUCAAGUCGCGUGUGAAAGCCCCCGGCUCAACUGGGGAGGGUCACGCGAUACUGAUCGACUCGAAGGCAGGAGAGGGUAGUGGAAUUCCCGGUGUAGCGGUGAAAUGCGCAGAUAUCGGGAGGAACACCAGCGGCGAAAGCACUCUGCUGGGCCGACACUGACACUGAGAGACGAAAGCUAGGGGAGCAAAUGGG